CUGCCCUCCGCAGGGGGAUAACCCGGAGAAAUCCGGACUAAUACCGCGUGGUACACCAGUGGGGCAUCCCACGGGUGUUAAAAGGAAGCGAUUCCGGCGGAGGAUGGGCAUGCGGCGCAUUAGCUUGUUGGCGGGGUAACGGCCCACCAAGGCGACGAUGCGUAGGGGUUCUGAGAGGAAGGUCCCCCACACUGGUACUGAGACACGGACCAGACUCCUACGGGAGGCAGCAGUGAGGAAUAUCGGUCAAUGGGCGGGAGCCUGAACCAGCCAAGUCGCGUGAGGGAAGACGGUCCUAUGGAUUGUAAACCUCUUUAGGCGGGGAGCAAUGCCGGGCACGCGUGCCCGGAGGGAGAGUACCCGCAGAAUAAGCAUCGGCUAACUCCGUGCCAGCAGCCGCGGUAAUACGGAGGAUGCGAGCGUUAUCCGGAUUUAUUGGGUUUAAAGGGUGCGUAGGCGGAUUUUUAAGUCAGCGGUAAAAUGUCCGGGCUCAACCCGGGCCGGCCGUUGAAACUGGGGAUCUUGAGUGGGCGAGAAGUAUGCGGAAUGCGUGGUGUAGCGGUGAAAUGCAUAGAUAUCACGCAGAACUCCGAUUGCGAAGGCAGCAUACCGGCGCCCGACUGACGCUGAGGCACGAAAGCGUGGGGAUCGAACAGGAUUAGAUACCCUGGUAGUCCACGCAGUAAACG
rnacentral:rRNA from 1 species